rfam:Beauveria bassiana D1-5 contig00022, whole genome shotgun sequence.
UUGGCCCAAAGGGUGAGUCUCAGGACGAGACGAGUAGCCUGCAGCAGGUUCGAGUCGAACGUAGUGAGACAACGGAGCCGUUUGCGACGACGGCCCGAAGGGCGAGCACAGCGAGUCAUCCUGCACGACCCACCA